rnacentral:rRNA from 1 species
UACGUAGGGUGCGAGCGUUGUCCGGAAUUAUUGGGCGUAAAGAGCUCGUAGGCGGUCUGUCGCGUCGGUCGUGAAAACUUGGGGCUUAACCCUGAGCUUGCGGUCGAUACGGGCAUGACUGGAGUUCGGCAGGGGAGACUGGAAUUCCUGGUGUAGCGGUGAAAUGCGCAGAUAUCAGGAGGAACACCGGUGGCGAAGGCGGGUCUCUGGGCCGAUACUGACGCUGAGGCGCGAAAGCCAGGGGAGCAAACGGG